rnacentral:rRNA from 1 species
CAAAAACAUGUCCUCUUGUUUUGAAUAUAUGAGGUCUAACCUGCCCAAUGAUAAAUUAUUUAAUGGCCGCGGUAUAUUAACUGUGCUAAGGUAGCAUAAUCACUUGUCUUUUAAUUGGAGGCUAGAAUGAAUGGUUGGACGAGAUAUUUUCUUUCUUUAAUUUAGUUAUUGAAUUUAAUUUUUUAGUUAAAAAGCUAAAAUGUUUUUGGGGGACGAGAAGACCCUAUAGAUCUUUAUAUUUUAAUUUAUCAUUUAUUUUGGAUAGAUUAUAAUUUUAUUGAUAUUUUUAUAUAUUUGGUUGGGGUGACUGUAAAAUUUAAAUAACUUUUAUUUUUGUUUAUCAUGAAUUAGUGUUUAUUUGAUCCAGUUCUAUUGAUUAUAAGAUUAAGUUACCUUAGGGAUAACAGCGUAAUUUCUUUGGAGAGUUCUUAUCGAUAGAGAAGUUUGCGACCUCGAUGUUGGAUUAAAAUAAGUAUAAGGCGUAGAAGUUUUAUAACUAGGUCUGUUCGACCUUUAAUUUUUUACAUGAUCUGAGUUCA